AAUAUAAAUCUAUAUAAAAAAUUUAUUCAUUAACUUCACCCACCGCCGGGCCUCCGGGGGGCGCUGCGGGGGGUAGUGACGUCAUAUCGAGCUGCCCGCGUGACGUCACAGCGCGCCGCCGCCAUGGAGCCGGGGCCCUGGGCCGUGGGCGAGCACACGGCGAUCCUGCACGGCGGGUUCCUGCUGGCCGCCCGCCUGAUCCAGCCGCGGGCGCUGCGGGAGCUGCGCAAGGCCGACUGGCCCCUGGCGGGGGUGCCCAUCACCGACGCGCUGCGGGAGAUCGGCGAGCGCUGCCCCUCGCCGCGGGAGCACGGCCGCUGGAAGCGGGAGGCGGUGGCCAUCGUCUGGGCCAAGGUGCUGCUGCCCGCGCCCCCGGCCGCCUCGCUGGAGUGGGGAUGGAGGGACGACGGCUUCUUCUCGGUGGGCGCGAUGAUCCCCGACGUGAACCACACCGCCCUCUUCGAGCUGGUCAAGGCGCUUGGCGUGCCCCGGGUGUUCGUGGAGCUGCUGCUGGCGCUGCCCCCGGGGGUGUGCCGGGAGCAGCUGGAGCACAUGGUGGCAUAUGUGACCAGCGAGACGUCCCCAUCCGACAUCAGGCUGUUCUUGGACGUGUGGUGGGAGGUGAUGAAGCACAAGGAAGGGCAGGAGGAUGCGACAGUCUCUGCGUUCAGCGCUCUCAUACGCCAGCAGGGGGGUGAGUCCUCUCUGGACGAUGGUCUGCAGCCCCCAAAGAGGUUCAAGGGUGACCCUGUGAACAUCCCCCCAGCUGCCCCUGGGCUGUUCAUGGUCCUGGUGGAGGGGUUGAUGCAGAUCCACAGGAACAUCACCCAGCCCCGCAUGCAGUGCUACGCCCUGGCCAACCUGGCCGAGCUGCUCUCCGUGUUCACUGAGCUGGAGCCAGCAGGCAGCUCCCUCCCCACCACAGAGUACCUGCACAAGGUCAGUGCCACGGUCAGCCUCUGGACCAGCGACCCUGACAGCCAGUUCCACCACAGUGGGCUGGGAGAGAAGGUGAGGGAAGCAGAGAGAACCGUGAGCCUCCUGUCUGUGACCAAACUCUCCCGUGAGGAGCUCUGUGUUGGCUUGGAGUUUCUCUGCAGCUUGUUGCGUGCCUGGGGAGAGGAGCUGCAGGAUGCUCUGAGCAGCUCUGAGCAGCUCUGCUAUGAGAGCUACCGGCUCCUGGACACUCUGACCACCCUUGGGAAGAACCUGGUUUGCUUCUCGGAGACUAGAGACAUGGGUGAGGAUGAGACACGUGUAGUGUUAGAGCUGACACAGGUCACCAAGGACUUUCUCAAGGAGAGCAGUGCCAGCCCGAAGAGCAAGGAUUUGGCCACCAGUCUUGUGUCGUCGGUUGCCAUGGCAAUCAUUGCACAAAAGCUGGACAGGCAUGCAGACAUGUGCUCUGUUUUUGCAUCUGAAAAGACCUGGGCCUUUACAAAGGCCUGGGUUGACUGCCUUGUGCAAAAUAAAGCUCUCUUCCAGAAACCAGAGCUAGUUUUGAAAUUGCUGGAGACCCUGGUGAGCUUUGCUACAUCCUGUCGAGACAAGGAGGCCCGAGAGCUGCAGGUGCAAGUGACCAAAGCCAUCGUGGACUGUUACACUGAGCUUUCAUUAACUGACAAAAACAAGGUGAUCUCAGGUGUCCUGAUGUCCUGGGGUGGACCAGGUCUGUCCUCGAACUUGCAGGUUGUCAGGGAAGGGUUCCAGGAGGAUCUGAAUGUGACUUUGAACCAGAUCACGAAGAGUGUGUCCGAUGAAGGUCUGACCAGGGCUGUGGCUUCUGUGGCCAGGCUCAUGCUGCUGUACCCCGAGGCCACGGUGAAGCAGGUUUGUCAUCUUGCUGUGGUCAACCUAGGAGCACACCAGUUCCUCGCACAAAUCCUCUGCUCCUUCCCAGCACUGAGGUUCCUGGAGACCCAAAAGGAUCCAGGCAGGCCACACAACCUGGUGGUGAGGUGUCUGGAGGAGGCAGUAUGGGGGAAGCUUUCCACUGCGAGGGAAGAGGAGCAGUUCCUUCAGUUCCUGACCUUUCUCAUGCAGCCAGGCUCAGCCACCCCACUUGUGUCACCUGCAGAGGUGACCAAAGCUUUUGUCCUUCCCUAUUUGAAGUCAGACUCUCCUCAGAUUGAGCUGAGCCUGCAGGUCCUCAGUAAGGCUUUGGGAAUACAGCCCUGUUCAGAAGAGCACUGGAUCAAAUCCUGUCACCCAUUCCCACUUCUAUUGAGCCUCUGCAAGCUUCUAGAUGGUUACACCAGGUACUGGCAUCAGCCUAGGGAGCAGCUCUUCCCUUCACUGGAGACCAAAGACCUGAUUCUGAAUAUCCUCUGCCAGCUCUGCGAGGUGGUGGGACCAGAAUCUGCCCCCUCCCCGGAGCUGUGGGUCCAGUCCCUGGCCUGGCUCCACAGGAAGGUGGCAUCCCUGGACUGGACCGUCGGGCUCAGACUGAAGAAGCUUUAUGGAGACCACUUCAAGAACGAGGUCCCAGCGACACUGUUCGAGAUCUGCACCCUCCCUGAGGACGAGUGGACAUCCCAGUCUUUGCCAGCCUACGGACCAGGCAGCGGGCUCCUGGCGUGGAUGGAGUGCUGCUGCGUGUCCCCAGCGCUCAGGGACACGAUGCUGGCGCUCCUCACCGUCAACGUGGACAACCCUGAAGAAGUGAACCUCUUCAGCAAAGGGUUCCUGGUGGCCCUCAUUCAGGUGCUCCCCUGGUGCAGCCACAGCGAGUGGAAGAGGCUCGUGCACGUGGUGGAAAACCUGCUGCAGAGGCAGGUCCUGCACGUGCCCUACACGCUGGAGUACGUGCAGUACAUGCCCCUGCUCAACCUCCGCCCGUUUGCCUGCUGCCUCCAGCUCUCCGUGCUCUUCCUGAGGGGCUUCCAGCUCCUCUGCAGCUCCAGCUGCUCCACCUGGCUGCCCCCAGAGGCCUGGCUCCACGUGGUGCAGCUGUACUGCGGCAGCCUGACGGACCUGCUGACCUCCGUCAAGGGCACGGCCGGACCCCCCUCGCAGCCCGCCGGGGACGGGACCUCCCCGCAGGAGGUGUCCUUCGUCUGCAUCCAGAUGUUCUGCCACCUGCUGCACGUGGCUGCCAUGCUGCCGGGCGAGGGCUGCGGGGAGCCCCUGGUGGUGGUGGCGCUGGAGGUCCUGUCGCAGUACGAGGCGUUCAGCAACGCCGACACGUCCCCCAGCAACACCCUGCGGAGGGCCAACGAGAGGCACUUCCUGGAGGCCAUCACGGACAACGUGGGGGACAGGGAGCUGCGCAGCACCCUCCUGCAGAAGCUCAGCAAGCUGGGGGCACAUCCAGCCGGGGAGCCGGAUUGAGGAGCUGGAAAGGGUGACAGAGGAGAGCACCGACAAGGGACCCCUUACCUGGAUGGUAACAACAGCCGUGACUGGGAUGAGAUACAACACCCAAAAGAUCCAGAUCUUCCAGAGCUUGGCUGCUGGUUUCAGACAGAAUGAAAGGCACAGAGUGGUCACAGGUCUCCC